GUCCACGCCCUAACGAUGUCUACUAGUUGUCGGUCUUAAUUGACUUGGUAACGCAGCUAACGCGUGAAGUAGACCGCCUGGGAGUACGGUCGCAAGAUUAAACUCAAAGGAAUUGACGGGACCCGCACAAGCGGUGGAUGAUGUGGAUUAAUUCGAUGCAACGCGAAACCUUACCUACCCUUGACAUGGCUGGAAUCCUCGAGAGAUCAGGGAGUGCCCGAAAGGGAACCAGUACACAGGUGCUGCAUGGCUGUCGU
rnacentral:rRNA from 1 species